rnacentral:rRNA from 1 species
GACGAACGCUGGCGGCGCGCCUAACACAUGCAAGUCGAACGGAGCUGAGAGAAGCUUGCUUUUCUUAGCUUAGUGGCGAACGGGUGAGUAACGCGUGAGUAACCUGCCCUGGAGUGGGGGACAACAGUUGGAAACGACUGCUAAUACCGCAUAAGCCCACGAUCCGGCAUCGGAUUGAGGGAAAAGGAUUUAUUCGCUUCAGGAUGGACUCGCGUCCAAUUAGCUAGUUGGUGAGGUAACGGCCCACCAAGGCGACGAUUGGUAGCCGGACUGAGAGGUUGAACGGCCACAUUGGGACUGAGACACGGCCCAGACUCCUACGGGAGGCAGCAGUGGGGGAUAUUGCACAAUGGGGGAAACCCUGAUGCAGCGACGCCGCGUGGAGGAAGAAGGUUUUCGGAUUGUAAACUCCUGUCGUUAGGGACGAUAAUGACGGUACCUAACAAGAAAGCACCGGCUAACUAC